rnacentral:lncRNA from 1 species
CGCGAGCUGGGGGCCCUUCCUGGGGGUGGGCGGAGCCCGGCCCGAGGCUCGUGCCUUCCCGCAGCUCCGGGGAGCUUCGCCGUGUCCCAGCCCCAGCCCAGACCCCGGCUGCAGCGAACACCGGUGGGCCGUGCUGCCCCCCAGCCCGGAGGAUGCGGUUCUCCUGGGGCAGAGAUGGGGCCGGGCCCGUGAAGCCGGGUCCCCAGCAGGCCUGGCCUCCGGCAGCUUCCUGCCCCAGUGUGGCCCCCGCUCGCCUCGACUGGGAGACGACCACAGCGUGGGGUCCCCGGCCGCCCCUCGCAUCCGCCAGGGCCUCCCAGAGCGACACCCGCUCUGGCUACCGGGAAUGCAGGGGAAACGCACACUCAGGACUAAGGAGUGUGGCCCCCACUUUAGAGGAGGAACUGCCCAUACCACUUUCCCCAGAGUCCACGAGACGGUUGCCCAGCUGUGCCGGCCUGCUGCCCAGGCCCCUGCCACCCCCAAGCCCACCCACAGCCCCCUGGGCCUGGAGGGGACCUCAGUUCAGGUGGGUCAGCUGGUGA